AGUUUGAUUCAUGGCGUCAGGAUGAACGCUAGCUACAGGCUUAACACAUGCAAGUCGAGGGGAAACGGAACAUCGAAAGCUUGCUUUUGUAUGGGCGUCGACCGGCGCACGGGUGAGUAACGCGUAUCCAACCUGCCCACCACUUGGGGAUAACCUUGCGAAAGUAAGACUAAUACCCAAUGAUAUCUCUAGAAGACAUCUGAAAGAGAUUAAAGAUUUAUCGGUGAUGGAUGGGGAUGCGUCUGAUUAGCUUGUUGGCGGGGUAACGGCCCACCAAGGCAACGAUCAGUAGGGGUUCUGAGAGGAAGGUCCCCCACAUUGGAACUGAGACACGGUCCAAACUCCUACGGGAGGCAGCA
rnacentral:rRNA from 1 species